UGAUAGGUGCUAUGACAGGUCAGAAGAAGGAGCUAUGAGAGCAUGUAGGAAAAGCAGGAAAUCCUCACUGAGGGCUCUGGAAGGCUUCUGGAAGAAACUCGGAAGGGAACAAGCUUCUAAAUUGCUCAAGAGAUGGUGAAAGAUAGGAAAGCUGAGGCAGUAAGGAUAUCACAAAGGAAAACUAUGGUCAAAGCAUGAAGAAGAACAGAAGGAUUUGCAGAGGGGAAACAGAUGUUUACUGUUCAUUUCAUAAUCACAAGGCUGGAUG
rnacentral:lncRNA from 10 species